UCCGUAGUGGUGUAACGGCUAGCAUACUGAGCUUUCAGCAGCAAACUACCUCAGAGAUCCGGGUUCGAUUCCCGGCUAUGGAA